rnacentral:rRNA from 1 species
CCUACGGGUGGCAGCAGUGAGGAAUAUUGGUCAAUGGCCGCAAGGCUGAACCAGCCAAGCCGCGUGAAGGAUGACGGUCCUAUGGAUUGUAAACUUCUUUUGUCAGGGAACAAAGUGCAGCACGUGUAGCGCUUUGCGUGUACCUGAAGAAAAAGCAUCGGCUAACUCCGUGCCAGCAGCCGCGGUAAUACGGAGGAUGCGAGCGUUAUCCGGAGUUAUUGGGUUUAAAGGGUGCGUAGGCGGAAUGUAAAGUCAGUGGUAAAAUUUCGGGGCUCAACCCCGACGGGCCGUUGAAACUGGCGUUCUUGAGUGCGCGAGAGGUAUGCGGAAUGCGUGGUGUAGCGGUGAAAUGCUUAGAUAUCACGCAGAACUCCGAUUGCGAAGGCAGCAUACCGGCGCGUAACUGACGCUGAGGCACGAAAGCGUGGGUAUCGAACAGGAUUAGAUACCCGAGUAGUC